rnacentral:tRNA from 1 species
UCCCUGGUGGUCCAGUGGUUAAGAUGCUGUGCUCCAAAUGCAGGAGGCCCAGGUUCCAUCCCUGGUCAGGGCA